rnacentral:rRNA from 1 species
GAGUCAACUCCGCAAGGGGUGGCGCACGGCUCAGUAACACGUAGUCAACCUACCCUAGGGACGGGGAUAACCUCGGGAAACUGAGGCUAAACCCCGAUAGGCUAUAGCCUCUGGAAUGAGCUAUAGCUGAAAUCUAUAUGGCCCUAGGAUGGGACUGCGGCCGAUCAGGUAGUUGGUGGGGUAAUGGCCCACCAAGCCUAUAACCGGUGCGGGCUCUGAGAGGAGGAGCCCGGAGAUGGGCACUGAGACAAGGGCCCAGGUCCUAUGGGGCGCAGCAGGCGCGAAACCUCCGCAAUGGGCGAAAGCCCGACGGGGUUAGUCCGAGUGGUCCCUGCUGAAGGGGCCUUUUGCCAGCUGUAAAAAGGCUGGCGAAUAAGGGGUGGGCAAGUUUGGUGUCAGCCGCCGCGGUAAUACCAGCACCCCGAGUGGUCGGGACGAUUAUUGGGCCUAAAGCAUCCGUAGCCGGCUUAGCAAGUCCUCCGUUAAAUCCAACGGCCUAACCGUUGGGCUGCGGAGGAUACUGCUAAGCUAGGGGGCGGGAGAGGCGAGGGGUAUUCCCAGGGUAGGGGUAAAAUCCGUUGAUCCUGGGAGGACCACCAGUGGCGAAGGCGCCUCGCUAGAACGCGCCCGACGGUGAGGGAUGAAAGCUGGGGGAGCGAACCGGAUUAGACACCCGGGUAGUCCCAGCCGUAAACGAUGUAGGCUCGAUGUUGGGUUACCCAAGUGGUAGCCCAGUGUCGCAGGGAAGCCGUUAAGCCUACCGCCUGGGGAGUACGGCCGCAAGGCUGAAACUUAAAGGAAUGGCGGG